AACCUGGUUGAUCCUGCCAGUAGUCAUAUGCUUGUCUCAAAGAUUAAGCCAUGCAUGUCUAAGUAUAAACAUUUAUACGGUGAAAACAGUUAUAGUUUAUUUGAUGGUCUUUUUUACAUGGAUAACCAUGGUAAUUCUAUGGCUAAUACAUGCGCAAGAGCUACCUUCUCUGGAGGAGCUGUGUUUAUUAGAUACAAAACCAACCCACUUUGUGGAGUCUUGGUGAUUCAUAGUAACCGAACGGAUCGCAGUUGGCUUUCGGGCCCGCGAUGGAUCAUUCAAGUUUCUGACCUAUCAGCUUUCCACGGUAGGAGGAAAGCUACCGUGGAAUGGCCUACCGUGGCAGUGACGGGUAACGGGGAAUUAGGGUUCGAUUCCGGAGAGGGAGCCUGAGAAACGGCUACCACCCACAUCUAAGGAAGGCAGCAGGUGCGCAAAUUACCCAAUGAAAACAGUUUCGAGGUAGUGACGAGAAAUAACAAUACAGGGCAUUUUAUGCUUUGUAAUUGGAGUGGUGGGAAUGUAAAACCCUUCCAGAGGAACAAUUGGAGGGCAAGUCUGGUGCCAGCAGCAGCGGUAAUUAGAGUUGUUGCAGUUAAAAAGCUCGUAGUUGGAUUUCUGUCGUGGUCAGCCUGCGCUGCCUGUAUGCAGUUAAAAAGAUCGUAGUUGCAUUUCUGUCGUGGUCAGCUUGCGCUACCCGUAUGGGUGUGCGCGUGGUUUGCCCUCGGCUUUUUUCCGCUAGCUUGUGGCGCUUAACUGCGUCUGCAAGUGUUCUGGAACUUUUACUUUGAGAAAAAUAGAGUGUUUCAAGCAGGUUUGUCGCCCUGAAUACUGCAGCAUGGAAUAAUAAGAUAGGACCUCGGUUCUAUUUUGUUGGUUUCUAGGACCAAUGAUUAAUAGGGACAGUUGGGGGCAUUCGUAUUUAACUGUCAGAGGUGAAAUUCUUAGAUUUGUUAAAGACGAACUACUGCG
rnacentral:ncRNA from 1 species